AGCGUAGACGGCGAUGCAAGUCUGAAGUGAAAUACCCGGGCACAACCUGGGAACUGCUUUGGAAACUGUAUGGCUAGAGUGCUGGAGAGGUAAGCGGAAUUCCUAGUGUAGCGGUGAAAUGCGUAGAUAUUAGGAAGAACACCAGUGGCGAAGGCGGCUUACUGGACAGUAACUGACGUUCAGGCUCGAAAGCGUGGGGAGCAAACA
rnacentral:rRNA from 1 species